GUUUAAUUGACAUUUAAUUGGCGUAUCGCUCUGAUGUCUAUCUGGACGCGACUCCUCAUCACCUCGCUGUGGGCAGCGCGCUGAGGCGCGCCUGGCAGCCAGCUGAGCAGCGCCCCUGCUUUGAGGAAGCGUUCAGUUCUUCUCCCAGCAGUUUCAUUUCUUGCCGCGAGCUCUGGCUUUCAGAGGACCUCCGGGCAGUAACGAUGACGAGCAGCGCACAGAAACCUGAUGAAAGCAGAAGUAAACGCAGGAAAGAGCUGGAGGCUGAUGAUACAGAAAGCCCUCAGCUGUCCUCUGCUGACACAGCAGACCCGGUGCUUUCGGACGGCCUGCAGUCCCUGUGCAAACCUGAGCCCCUGGAACAGCUGCUAAACGGUGAUGUAUUCACACACCCCGAGCCACUGCUGAAUGCUACAAUUGGAUGCCGAGGUGGAUUUGUUCCACUGUUUAAAUGAAGUCACUUUUUCUUCUAACAGAGAUGAAUAAAGAAAUCAAGGACUUGUUGGCA
rnacentral:lncRNA from 1 species